rnacentral:lncRNA from 1 species
UGAUGCAUUCAAUAUCAUUAAAACUAUGCAGACAGAAGAUCAAACUUGAAAGAUUAAUUAAUACUCCCGCCGUCUAGGUGUAUAAGUCACCUUACUAAAAUCAAAUAAUCCCAAAACAUUAUGAGUAGUUUUCUGGAAAGGAGGGGUUCAACAAGAGAUCACUUACAUUGCAUAAUAAAGACCACCAUUUUGACAUAUCAAGUAAUUCCAUCCUAUAGACACAAACCUCACUACCAGUCUGUCAUGCAUUCCUAAAACGGUAUGCCUCUCCAGCGGUCACAUGUGCACGGCUGGGAACUUUCCCCGAGUGUUUUGUCUGCAAGAGAUGGUCAAAUUACACGAUCUGUGAAUAGACGGCACACCCAGCUAGUAUUUAACAAAAAAAAUGCCGUUGAAUUCCCAUCAUGUAGAAGAAGGCACUGCCACCAUGAAACCUGCAAUGACAAGAGCAUGUAAGUUUUCUUGGUGUGGUACUUGUAAUCCACAUGCCCUAACUACCAAGUUCUCAACUAAGAAUGUAUAUAAUACUGCCAACUUAUAAUAUCACCAGUGCUAUUUAUAGAUGCUGACUGGUAGACAAAGAUGAUCUGAAAUGGUUUAUGUCAGAGGAAAGAGUAGAGGGUGCCUUUAUUGUGUUUUCAACAGUGAAACUUCUAUCUCCACAAAGUUUUUCCCUAUGUUUCGACUACAUGUCAUGGCACAAAUAUUGUUGCUACCACACAAGCUGAUGAAAAUAGUGUGUACAGAACCCGCGGACCAAGUUGCUCCAUGUGAAAUUCAACAUAUAGAAACCUACACAAAGUAUAACUAUAAUCAAGGACAUCUAGUGCAUUCUUGUCUUUUGGUAUUCCAACUCUUCACCAAAAAAAUCUACGGAAACCAUAUGCAUAGAUUAUAGUAGUUAUGGUAGCUCAUUUCAUGUCCAACAAAAAUUCAUAUGUGUUCUUUAAAAUAAAAACAUACUCCCUCCGUUCUAAAAUAGAUGACCCAAUUUUGUACUAAAGUUAGUAUAAAGUUGAGUCAUCUAUUUUGGAACGGAGGGAGUAGGUCUUAAAUAUAAACACAAAGAAAUAGGUGGUUUCUUCAAAAAAGGUGUAGAGAAUGAACUAUAUACACUGAAUAUUCAUUACAUGAAUCAGAAGUAGAAACAGUACUUCAGGACAAAAACAUAUAUAGUACAAGCGGUUCUUCUAUCUGUAUGUAACCAUGUGUCAUUAAGCUCAAUAUACCUCAUUUUUCGCUGAAGUGAAGGUCUAUUGCGGAUCAAUGCAAGCAGCUUCAAUGUUGAACCUUCAAUAUAGAAUGCAGGCCCUUGAGACUAUACAAUUGCAGUCAGAGUUGAUUGCAAUAUUGACGCGUAUCUCACGAACAGUUAAACACCAACAGCACAGUGUCUACUAUAUAGUUAUCUGAUCUACAUUUGAAAUGUCAAGAUAUGCAGUAGCGAAUAAGACCACUCCAAAUUGAGGAUGUUGUUCUUGCUGAAAUUAUUUCGAGAGCUAGCUGCCUACCAGGGAACGGGAAUCCAUCGUCCAACCACAAACAGAUUAAUUUUUCUGCCUCUUCCCACAGUAACACGCUAGCUCGCCGCUGCACUGGCCACCAUGGAGCCACCUGCUGCUAAUCAAAACACACUGCCACCAUCUCCUUCCCUAGUGACAGUGUGCUGCCCACCUGUGGUCGACUGUUGUUACACACGCUGCAUGCCUAACGCACCACCGGUCCUCUACCUGCCCUCCAACCUUGUCUAGGUCCGACGUACACAUGAAUAGAUACUGAAAUUGUAUGGUCGCGGCUUACAGCUUACUGCAAGCCCGUCUCAAACUCCCAGUUCCCAUGCAUGUAGUUUAGUGUUGGUAAUACUAAUAACAAAACAAAGUAGGUCCACCUUUUGCAUAUAGUGACCAAUCUCCAUCCCGUCAUCUUCCCUCGCCGGUCCACUCGCCAGUGAGUCUAGAGGAGGCGGCGACUCAAUGCCCGCCGAAUUGAAGGAAGGCCUGACCCAACGGGAGGGCGUUGAAGAGGAAGAGGGAGUACAUGGCCGGGAAUGCUGGAUUGGGUGAGGGGGCUCGCUGAGAGUGUCUCGGAGGAGGGUGCCUGCGCAGCUGGUUUGGCGGAUGAAUACUUCCCGAUGCCAUUGGUGGUGCCCGAGGCGGUGGCCAGGAAGAGCACUCGCCGCGCAAGCAUCAGAAACGGCACGCACUUGCAGGCUAUUCCUCUACCUCUGAAUCCUGAACUGGUCGUCAUAAUAUUCAGUCAUUGCAUAUGUAGACGUAAGAACUAAGAACUGAAUCGGGCAUUGGAUUACUUAUUAUGAAUUUCUAUACGUAGAUGUUACUCCUCCACAUUUGACUCGAUUGAACUCAAUUAUCUGGACUCGAUCAAACUAAAGUAUCUUCACAUGUCCAUGUAAUAAUUGAACUAAUUAAUCAAAAAGCAACCUGGUGGGCAUUAC